rnacentral:lncRNA from 1 species
GACAAACGAGCGUUUCUGGUUGAGUGGUAAGCCAUCGUCUUGCAUUCCCAAAGUCAUCAGUUUGAUCCCUGGCGUUGGCCUAACUCGGUUUUACUUGUCCCUUUUUUUACAUUUUUCAUUUUCCUAGUAAAAUUCGUAUUACAUAUCCAUGAGUGAAAUCAACUUAGGAUUGAUCAUUCAUGACCUAGUGGUAGAGGCAUUUAGUGCUUCCUACUAGGUCAUGGGUUCGACCCUUGUGCAACUCAC